UACAGAGGGUGCAAGCGUUAAUCGGAUUUACUGGGCGUAAAGCGUGUGUAGGUGGCUUCUUAAGUCGAUUGUGAAAUCCCUGGGCUCAACCUGGGAAUUGCAGUCGAUACUGGGAAGCUAGAGUUCGGUAGAGGGUGACGGAAUUCCCGGUGUAGCAGUGAAAUGCGUAGAUAUCGGGAGGAACAUCGAUGGCGAAGGCGGCCUGCUGGGCAGUAGCUGACGCUGAGGCGCGACAGCGUGGGGAGCAAACAGG
rnacentral:rRNA from 1 species